rnacentral:rRNA from 1 species
UACAGAGGGUGCGAGCGUUAAUCGGAAUUACUGGGCGUAAAGCGUGCGUAGGUGGUUAUGUAAUUCGGAUGUGAAAGCCCAGGGCUCAACCUUGGAAUUGCAUUCGAGACUGCAUAGCUAGGAUGCGGAAGAGGGAAGCGGAAUUUCCGGUGUAGCGGUGAAAUGCGUAGAUAUCGGAAGGAACACCAGUGGCGAAAGCGGCUUCCUGGUCCAGCAUCGACGUUCAGGCACGAAAGCGUGGGGAGCAAACAGG